rnacentral:rRNA from 1 species
CCCGGCGACCGGCGGCACGGGUGAGUAACGCGUAUGCAACCUGCCCGUUUCAGCGGGAUAACCCGGAGAAAUCCGGCCUAAUACCGCAUGUGGCCGAGGGGAGGCAUCUUCUUUCGGCCAAAGGAGGCGACUCCGGAGACGGAUGGGCAUGCGUGACAUUAGCUUGUUGGCGGGGUAACGGCCCACCAAGGCGACGAUGUCUAGGGGUUCUGAGAGGAAGGUCCCCCACACUGGUACUGAGACACGGACCAGACUCCUACGGAAGGCAGCAG